UACGUAUGGUGCAAGCGUUAUCCGGAUUUACUGGGCGUAAAGGGAGCGCAGGCGGCGCGCCAAGUCUGAUGUGAAACCCCGGGGCUCAACCCCGGGCAUGCAUUGGAAACUGGCGGGCUGGAGUGCCGGAGAGGUAAGUGGAAUUCCUAGUGUAGCGGUGAAAUGCGUAGAUAUUAGGAGGAACACCAGUGGCGAAGGCGGCUUACUGGACUGUAACUGACGUUGAGGCUCGAAAGCGUGGGGAGCAAACAGG
rnacentral:rRNA from 1 species